rnacentral:rRNA from 1 species
GACAGAGGUCCCGAGCGUUGUUCGGAUUCAUUGGGCGUAAAGGGUGUGUAGGAGGUUGGGUAAGUCAGGUGUGAAAUCUCAGAGCUUAACUCUGAAACUGCGCUUGAUACUGCUCAGCUAGAGGAUCGGAGGGGGUAACGGAAUUUAUGGUGUAGCAGUGAAAUGCGUAGAUAUCAGGAGGAACACCUGUGGCGAAAGCGGCUCACUGGACCACAACUGACGCUGAGGCGCGAAAGCUAGGGGAGCAAACAGG